rnacentral:rRNA from 1 species
UACGGAGGGGACUAGCGUUGUUCGGAAUUACUGGGCGUAAAGCGCACGUAGGCGGAUUUGUAAGUCAGGGGUGAAAUCCCGGGGCUCAACCUCGGAACUGCCUUUGAUACUGCAAAUCUCGAGUCCGGAAGAGGUGAGUGGAAUUCCUAGUGUAGAGGUGAAAUUCGUAGAUAUUAGGAAGAACACCAGUGGCGAAAGCGACUUUCUGGGCCAUUCCUGACGCUGAGGUUCGAAAGCUCGGGGAGCAAACAGG